ACACAGGAAAAAUGGUAUACACAUUUAUGGCAGAAGAGGUUGAAAAAAGCAGAAGUAAACUUAAAGGUUAAACAUCAAGGAAAAAAGAACAUUGCCAAUUAAACUGACACAAUGCUCUCUGAUGAGAAGAAACUUUGUAUCUGUUGGAGGAAAGCUGUG
rnacentral:lncRNA from 14 species